rnacentral:rRNA from 1 species
UACGUAGGUGGCAAGCGUUGUCCGGAUUUACUGGGCGUAAAGAGCGCGCAGGCGGUCUUGUGAGUCGAAUGUGAAAGCCCCUGGCUCAACCAGGGAGGGUCAUUCGAUACUGCUUGACUCGAAGGCAGGAGAGGGAAGUGGAAUUCCGGGUGUAGUGGUGAAAUGCGUAGAUAUCCGGAGGAACACCAGUGGCGAAGGCGACUUUCUGGCCUGUUCUUGACGCUGAGGCGCGAAAGCUAGGGGAGCAAACGGG